CAAAAGCGGAGGAAAAGAAACCAACAGGGAUUGCCCCAGUAGCGGCGAGUGAAGCGGCAAAAGCUCAGAUUUGGAAUCGCUUCGGCGAGUUGUGAAUUGCAGGUUGGCGCCUCUGCGGCGGCGGCGGUCCAAGUCCCUUGGAACAGGGCGCCAUUGAGGGUGAGAGCCCCGUGGGACCGUUUGCCUAUGCUCUGAGGCCCUUCUGACGAGUCGAGUUGUUUGGGAAUGCAGCUCUAAGCGGGUGGUAAAUUCCAUCUAAGGCUAAAUACUGGCGAGAGACCGAUAGCGAACAAGUACUGUGAAGGAAAGAUGAAAAGCACUUUGAAAAGAGAGUGAAACAGCACGUGAAAUUGUUGAAAGGGAAGGGUAUUGCGCCCGACAUGGAGCGUGCGCACCGCUGCCCCUCGUGGGCGGCGCUCUGGGCGUGCUCUGGGCCAGCAUCGGUUUUUGCCGCGGGAGAAGGGCGGCGGGCAUGUAGCUCUUCGGAGUGUUAUAGCCUGCCGCCGGCGCCGCGAGCGGGGACCGAGGACUGCGACUUUUGUCUCGGAUGCUGGCACAACGGCGCAACACCGCCCGUCUGAAC
rnacentral:rRNA from 1 species